GUUACCCCAGCCCUGACUCCCACUACUUGAAGGGCUGAUUCCUUUGGAUUUCUCUUCAACAUGUUAUCAUUGAGGGGACUUUAGACCUUGUAUCUUAUCAUCACCACUCUUACCACUACCAAGCAUGAUAAGAACUCCCUCUUUGUUAACAUGGGGAUAACCCUUAUAAAUCAUUAAAAUAUUGUCUUCCAUCAAGUAAUUUAAGUAAAUAUAUUGAUAAUUAGUCUUUAGGUGCCUUACUUUGUUCUAUUUAAUUUGACAACUGUACAGAAGAGUGAUAAAAGCAUCGCCCCAGACAUUAGCAUCUCUGGGUUCCCAUCCCAUCCUCACCACACAGGGGCUCGGCCAAUCAGUAUAAUAACAGCAGGUACUUGACAGGAUGGUCGUGGGACUCAACUGAGACUGUACAUAUGAAGUGUAAUUGUGUCUGGCUUGCUCUGAACCAUUUUUAUCACUGUCAUUAUGGCAGUCACUAUCAGAUGGAUUUGCUGUCAAAUUUGGGUAGUUGCUAUAUGAAUCUUUGAAUUCCUUCAGUAUAAAUCAGGCUCACUUAUUGGAUUAAGGGGCAAAACUACAGAUUCUCAAUUAGACAGUCUUUCUAGGAAUGAUGUUAAAUCAUCUGGUAUCAUAGAAAAUAGAAGUUUUAGCAGUUGCUGCUGUUGCUAACUCGUUUCAGCUGUGUCCGACUCUGUGCAACCCCAUAGAUGGCAGCCCACCAGGCUUCUCCGUCCCUGGGAUUCAAACCCCAGCACCACCAGUGACUUUCUGGGCACCAAUUUCAUCUUCUGUAAUAAAGGGAUAAUUACAAGUGUCUGAGAGAGCUGAAGGAUAAACCAUAACAUAUGAAGAAAAAGAUGCCAGUAAAGAGCCUGGCACACGAUUCCUAAAAAAGAAACAGCUUCAGCAGAGACUGGAAGGGACAGGAUGCAGCAUGGGAAGAAAAAAUCAGCCCUCCAUGGACUGUAGCCUGCCAGGCUCCUCUGUCCAUGGAAAUCUCCAGGCAAGAAUACUGAAGUGGGUUGCCAUUACCUUCUCCAGGGGAUCAUCCCAAGCCAGGGAUCAAACCCAGGACUCCUGGGUUGCAGGCAGA
ensembl:lncRNA